rnacentral:tmRNA from 1 species
GGGGAUAUAAUGGUCUCGACAUAUUAUGUUCUCUUAUUAUUGCAGUAGUUUGGUAGACUAUAAUACUUCUAGACUUUUUUAAACGGAAACGAUAAAAAAGAAACAAGCGUUAACCCAAUGGUUUUCGCUUACAACAAUGCAAAUCUAGCUUUCGCUUAAUAGCAAACCUAGUGGCUUAUAGAAAUUCCUUGGUUCUAUAAGUUGGUCUAAAGGAUAGCAUAAGUGUUGACAAACUUAUGUGAAAUUUGUCACACAUUACAAAACUUUUUCGUUUGCUUUAGUUUUGUAAUGUUACAAAAAGCAAAAUAAACUGUAGAUGUAAUAAGUUGCGAUGUAGUGUGGACAGGGGUUCGAUUCCCCUUAUCUCCACCA